rnacentral:lncRNA from 1 species
GGAUAUCGAUUCUUGAUUCAACGGAUAAUAACGGAUUUUUUCAGAUAGAUAAAUCAAAUUUCAUCAAUGAGUUGUUCUAUAUUAUUCCUUAUUUUUUGACUUUGAUGCAAGAUAAACGAAUUGAACUGUUAACGUGUUUUUCUGCAGCGUGGGUUGUCAAAAUAAUGACUUUCUUCAUAGCAUGCAGCCUCGAGAUUUGAUUUGCGAUCUUUAGUAAAAAAAAAUUAAUUCGUAUCAAUCUUUUUUUUUGUUGAUUUAUAGCAU